rnacentral:rRNA from 1 species
UACGAAGGGGGCUAGCGUUGCUCGGAAUCACUGGGCGUAAAGCGCACGUAGGCGGGUCGUUAAGUCAGGGGUGAAAUCCCGGAGCUCAACUCCGGAACUGCCUUUGAUACUGGCGAUCUUGAGUUCGAGAGAGGUGAGUGGAACUGCGAGUGUAGAGGUGAAAUUCGUAGAUAUUCGCAAGAACACCAGUGGCGAAGGCGGCUCGCUGGCUCGAUACUGACGCUGAGGUGCGAAAGCGUGGGGAGCAAACAGG